rnacentral:lncRNA from 1 species
UUCGUUGGUUAGAUGGGAAAAUACCAGAAGGGGAAAAAAUUAGAAGUAUUGAGAGACUUGACAGUAUCUUUGGUUGGGUGCGGAUGAAGACUGAUAAGGAUGUUAGGGAAAUGAUGUUCGGUCGAGACGACAUCAAUUUGAUUGUUGUAAUCAGUUAGAAAUAUUUCUGUUUUCAGAUAGCUUAUUUUGUACUGAUGUUUGUUGUGAACCAAUCAGUUAGAAAUAUUUCUGUUUUCAGAUAGCUUAUUUUGUACUGAUGUUUGUUGUGAACCUCAUUGUAACAAAAACUUAAUGAUAUAUAAUGAUUGAAGGUUACAGAAAUACAAUGUUACAAAAA